rnacentral:tmRNA from 1 species
GGGGGCGUUACGGAUUCGACAGGUAUAGGUCGAGCUUGGAUGGCGUUUCGUAGGUUACGACUACGCAAAAACGUUACAGUUAAAUAUAACUGCAAAAACAAACAAUAACACUUACGCUUUAGCUGCCUAAAAACAGUUAGCGUAGAUCCUCUUGGCAUCACCCAUGUGCUCAAGCAAGGGUCUCAAAUUUAGUGGGAUACGUUAAAACUUUCCGUCUGCAAGUUUUAAAAGAGAUCAUCAGACUAGCGAAGUUCGAGGCCUGUUAUGUGGCAUAGGGCUUAGCGAAAUUGAAAUAGCAUAACUAUGAACGUAGAAAUCUAAGUGCCGAUAUGCUUGGACAGGGGUUCGACUCCCCUCGUCUCCAUCU